UGAAAUAGUUAAGAAGGUCAAAAUCAUUUUCUCCCCAAACGAAAUCCGAAAGAGAUAAAACUAACAUCUACUAAUUCACAAGAUUAACACAAAAGGAAAAAUCUUCAUAUUCUUGUAGGUAUACAGGAAAACCCCCUAUCUUCUCCCCAUCACUCAAAAUAACAUUAAAAUCACCUCUAACUAAUCAAGGAAACCUCAUAUUUAUAUAUACAAAAUAGAUAUCUUCCCAUAAACUUAGUCUCUCUUGUGCAUCACACUUUGUAUACACCACAAUAGAGAAGAAAAUCUGUCCAGUGUCUUGGAACUGUAAUUGUAGAGUGAGUUGCUGCUCUAAAUCAGAAAUAACAGUAACUUGGAUGUCGUCAGGAAUGAAAACCCAAAUCUUGCCAUUUUGAUUGUAGUUUGCAUAUUGCAUGCCCAACCUUCUUUUGUACUUCUGAAUUUGGUUAACAUCUUGAAAAGGCUCCAUCAAUGCAAUAAUGGAGAAUUUAUAGUAUCUGUAUAACAGCUGAAUUUUGUGAAAUGAAUUUGGAUCCUUACAGACCUUACAUUCCAAAACAAAGUUUCAUCAUGAUUUGAACUUUGAUUUGACAUUUCUCUAGAGAUUUACCCUGCUGGGCAGUGUCUCUCCCACAUUUCUGCUUUUAUUAUUCUUUGAGGAAGUUUAGGGUGAUAUCCCUGCCAUCUUAAAUACUGAAUCUUCAAUAAGUUAGUUAUUCACUUCCCCCUUAUCUUCAAUUUGCUCUACCUGAUGUGAUCUUAUAAGUUGUGUAUCUGUUGUACUCAACUGAUGUAAUACUAACUAAUGAAGAGUGUUGUUAGGGGCUGAUUUCCUGCAGGGCAUUACUAGCUCUUGAGUUCCCUUAUUAUCUUCAGCAUCUGUAUCCAACAAUAGCAUUUUUUUUUACAACCUGAGGAUAAGAUUCUACUAGCUCUCCCGUAGUGAUGAUUUCCUGAGAUCCAUCAAUUUGCAGAGGUUCAGUAUAGGUGACUGUUGAUAUGGAUUUUUCAUUUUGCGCUCUAUUUGUAUCAAAUCAUUUUCACUCAAUAAAGUAGUACUUGUCUGAUCAUUCCCAAAAUCUUGAACUGUAUUCAAAGAUUCUACCAUUGCCUACGUCUUGUGAUGUUCUGUAACUGCUGUAAUUGCUAGUUCAUGCUCCUUUUCCAACUCAUGCCUAGUGCCAUUAUGUUGA